rnacentral:tRNA from 1 species
AGAGUUUUAAGUUAAAAUAAACUGUAAAUUUUCAAAAUUUAAAAUAAAUAUUUGUUGUUUAAAUUCUG